rnacentral:rRNA from 1 species
CCAGACUCCUACGGGAGGCAGCAGUGGGGAAUAUUGCACAAUGGGGGAAACCCUGAUGCAGCGACGCCGCGUGAAGGACGAAGUAUUUCGGUACGUAAACUUCUAUCAGCAGGGAAGAAAAUGACGGUACCUGACCAAGAAGCCCCGGCUAACUACGUGCCAGCAGCCGCGGUAAUACGUAGGGGGCAAGCGUUAUCCGGAUUUACUGGGUGUAAAGGGAGCGUAGACGGCCAUGCAAGUCUGAUGUGAAAACCCGGGGCUCAACCCCGGGACUGCAUUGGAAACUGUGCGGCCGGAGUGUCGGAGAGGCAAGUGGAAUUCCUAGUGUAGCGGUGAAAUGCGUAGAUAUUAGGAGGAACACCAGUGGCGAAGGCGGCUUGCUGGACGACGACUGACGUUGAGGCUCGAAAGCGUGGGGAGCAAACAGGAUUAGAUACCCCUGUAA